rnacentral:rRNA from 1 species
CGGACGGGUGAGUAACGCGUGGAUAACCUGCCGUAUGCAGGGGGAUACCAACUGGAAACAGUUGCUAAUACCGCAUAAGCGCACAGCACCGCAUGGUGCAGUGUGAAAAGAUUUAUCGGCAUACGAUGGAUCCGCGUCCGAUUAGCCAGUUGGCGGGGUAGAAGCCCACCAAAGCGACGAUCGGUAGCCGGCCUGAGAGGGCGGACGGCCACAUUGGGACUGAGACACGGCCCAAACUCCUACGGAAGGCAGCAG